rnacentral:rRNA from 1 species
UUUACCUACGGGGGGCAGCAGUGGGGAAUAUUGCGCAAUGGGCGAAAGCCUGACGCAGCGACGCCGCGUGGAGGAUGAAGGUUUUCGGAUUGUAAACUCCUUUUGUUAGAGAAGAUAAUGACGGUACCUAACGAAUAAGCACCGGCUAACUCCGUGCCAGCAGCCGCGGUAAUACGGAGGGUGCAAGCGUUACUCGGAAUCACUGGGCGUAAAGAGCGCGUAGGCGGGAUAGCAAGUCAGAUGUGAAAUCCUAUGGCUUAACCAUAGAACUGCAUUUGAAACUGUUAUUCUAGAGUAUGGGAGAG